rnacentral:tRNA from 1 species
AAGGGAUUAGUCCAAAUAAAAGACCUCUGAUUUCGGCUCAGAAAACUACGGUUUAAGUCCGUAAUUCCUUU